AUGCCUGUUCGAGCGUCAUUUUAUCAGCUCAAGCAUUGCUUGAUUAUGGGUGUUUGUCCUAACAGACUCGCCUCAAAAGUAUUGGCAGUGGAUGUUUGAACUUUGUAUGCAGUAAACAAGUGUACAAAGGACUCCUUGUCCACCUCCACAAGUCUUCUUAGUUUGACCUCGGAUCAGGUAGGGAUACCCGCUGAACUUAA
rnacentral:misc_RNA from 1 species